rnacentral:tRNA from 1 species
GAGGGUGUAGCUCAGUGGUAGAGUGCGUGCCUAGCAGGCACAAGGUCCUGGGUUCAAUCCCAUGCACCUCCA